AGAGUUUGAUCCUGGCUCAGAUUGAACGCUGGCGGCAUGCCUUACACAUGCAAGUCGAACGGUAACAGCACUUCGGUGGCUGACGAGUGGCGAACGGGUGAGCAAUACAUCGGAACGUGCCCGAGAGUGGGGGAUAACGCAGCGAAAGCUGUGCUAAUACCGCAUACGAUCUACGGAUGAAAGCAGGGGACCGCAAGGCCUUGCGCUCACGGAGCGGCCGAUGGCAGAUUAGGUAGUUGGUGGGAUAAAAGCUUACCAAGCCGACGAUCUGUAGCUGGUCUGAGAGGACGACCAGCCACACUGGGACUGAGACACGGCCCAGACUCCUACGGGAGGCAGCAGUGGGGAAUUUUGGACAAUGGGCGAAAGCCUGAUCCAGCCAUGCCGCGUGCAGGAUGAAGGCCUUCGGGUUGUAAACUGCUUUUGUACGGAACGAAAAGGUCUUUUCUAAUAAAGAA
rnacentral:rRNA from 1 species